rnacentral:lncRNA from 1 species
UCCCCGGGGCAGGGGGGGCCGGCUUAAGCCCCCUAAAAAGUCACUGUGCAGGGGUGAGGCACCUAUCAACUAGAUCCUGCCUUAGGACAGGGUGAGCUUAGCCACCCCCCUACCCUCCUCUCUCCAUUCUCCGACCAAGCACUAGACUGAGCCCGAACUCUUCCCUGAAAACCAUGCUGAGAUGGGAGGAACCUGUCAGCCACCUGACCUUACUACCUUAUACCUGAGGAAUUGCUUGGUCUAUUCCAGAAGAGUGCUUAGCUUAAUAAAGGCUGAUGAUAUUCGUCAGGAGACUGUUGACCGCUGCUAUAGAUAAGGAUCUCCUAUAUUCUUACCGGGAAGGAACCUUAGAAAUCAGUUAUUUUGAAGAUGACUUCAGAGAUUGUGAUUUGCCUAAUGUUGCAGUCGGUGGCAGUUUCAGGUUGAAGGAACCUAGUUCUAAGAUCCGAGGGCUGGGCCGACCCCUCCCCACCGGUUUGAUGCCCCGCCGGCUGGACGCCCUUUUUUCUUUACCCAUCCAAGUUCACACCCUGACCAGCGCCCCCAACCCUCCCCUUCCAUCCAGUAACAACCACUCUGACGCUCGGAGUUCGUCCUAAACGGCCCCAGGUGGAAAUGCCCCUAAGGAGAGCCUCUAAAAACACCCUCGGCGUGACUGCUCUAGGUUAGUAAAAUUGCUCAGGUUCGGCAUCUUUUAAGUGCGUUGUUUUUAAA